rnacentral:rRNA from 1 species
GACGAACGCUGGCGGCAGGCUUAACACAUGCAAGUCGCACGACAACGCUUUGUCUUUGACGCGCGCGAACAGUGGAGGACUGAUGCAUAUCCCGAAUAUGACCUGCCCUCGGGCGAGGGACAAUCACAGUAAACCGUGGCUAACACCCCACCUCCUCUGGAUCCCGCAUGGAUAACCAGAUCACAGCCUUCAGGCGCCUUUGAAUGGCUCUUCGUUGGAUUAGCUUGUUGGUGACCUAACAGCUCACCAUCGCAACCAUCCCUAACUGGACUAACAGGACCAUCGGCCCCGCAGCGACUGACACACUCCCCAGACUCCUACCGGAGGCAACUAUGGGAAAUCGUGCACAAUGCGGUUACCCCUGAUCCACCCGUGCCACGAGGGCCAUCACACCCCUAUGGCGCUUUGUCUCCUUUUCUGACCUCAGAGACCCCUGUACGUUCAGGGCACGACAGUAGUUCAAGAAUCACCACCUGCUAUCUCCCUGCCAGCCGCCGCAGUAAUACGGAUGGUGCCAUCGUUCUCAAGUAUCCGCUGGUUGUACAUGGUGCGCCGGCUCGGCAACUCCUAUGAUGUGAAACCCCAUGGCUCAACCAUGGAAGUGCAUUCGAAACUGUUGCUCUUGAGUCCGGGAGAGGCUGUCGGAUUUCGUGGUGUAGCAGUGAAAUGCGUAGAUAUCACGAGGACCACCAGAGGCGAAAGCGGACAGCUGGACCGGUACUGACGCUCAGGCACGAAAGCGUGGGGAGCAAACAGGAUUAGAUACCCUGGUAGUCCACGCCGUAAACGAUGAAUGCUCGCCGUUGCCCCGCUCAAGCGGCAGUGGUUAAGUUAACGCGUUAAGCAAUCCACCUGGGGAGUACGAUUGCAAGGUUGAAAAUCAAAGGAAUUGACGGGGGCCCGCACCAGCGGUGGAGCAUGUGGCUCAAUUUGAUGCAACGGGACGAACCUUACCUAGGCUCGAACGUUCGAGGACCGCUCCUGAAAGGGAGCUUCCCCUUUGGGGACCCUAGGGCGGUAGUGCAUGGCUGUUGUCAGCUUGUGUUGUGAGAUGUUGGGUUAAGUCCCGCAACGAGGGUAACCCCUGUUCCUAGUUACCAUCCAGUAAUGCCGGGGACUCUAGCGAAACUGCCGGCGCCAGCAGUGAGGAAGGUGGGGAUGACGUCAAGUCAUCAUGGUCCUUACGCCCAGGGCUGCACACGUGCUACAAUGGCCGGUACAACGGGUAGCCACCUCGCGAGAGGGAGCGAAUCUCAGAAACCCCGUCCCAGUUCGGAUUGGAGUCUGCAACUCGACUCCAUGAAGCAGGAAUCGCUAGUAAUCGCGGAUCAGCAAUGCCGCGGUGAAUCCGUUCCCGGGCCUUGUACACACCGCCCGUCACACCAUGGGAGUCUGUUGCACCAGAAGCAGGUAGCUUAACCUUCGGGAGGGCGCUUGCCACGGUGUGGCCGAUGACUGGGGU